rnacentral:tRNA from 1 species
AUUAUUUUGGCAGAUUAGUGCUAUGAAUUUAGAAUUCAUUUAUGUAAGUGUUUUAC